rnacentral:rRNA from 1 species
CAAAAACAUGUCUUUUUGAAAUUUAAUAGAAAGUCUGACCUGCCCAGUGAUUAAUUUAACGGCCGCGGUAUACUGACCGUGCAAAGGUAGCAUAAUCAUUAGUCUUUUAAAAGAGGGCUGGAAUGAAAGGUUUGACGAAGUAUUGACUGUCUCAUCUUAUUUGAAAUUAAAACUUAACUUUUUAGUCAAAAGGCUUAAAUUUUAUUGGUAGACGAGAAGACCCUAUAGAGCUUUAUAUUAUUUAUUUUGAUUAUUUAUAUAUAAUUUUUAAUUAAAAUAUAUAUUAUUUUGUUGGGGUGACAAGAAAAAAAAUUAACUUUUUUAUUUAUUUAACAUUAAUAUAUGAUUAUUUGAUCCAUUAUUAUUGAUUAUUAGAUUAAGUUACCUUAGGGAUAACAGCGUAAUCCUCCCCCAGAGUUCAUAUUUACGGGUAGGGCUUGCGACCUCGAUGUUGGAUUAAGAUAAUAACUAGGUGUAGCCGCUUAGUUUAUAGGUCUGUUCGACCUUUAAAUUCUUACAUGAUCUGAG